rnacentral:rRNA from 1 species
AUUGAACGCUGGCGGCAGGCCUAACACAUGCAAGUCGAGCGGAGCUGCGGACGGGUGAGUAAGGCCUAGGAAUCUGCCCGGUAGUGGGGGAUAACGUCCGGAAACGGGCGCUAAUACCGCAUACUAUCAGAUGAGCCUAGGUCGGAUUAGCUAGUUGGGUGGGUAAAGGCCUACCAAGGCGACGAUCCGUAGCUGGUCUGAGAGGAUGAUCAGUCACACUGGAACUGAGACACGGUCCAGACUCCUACGGGAGGCAGCAGUAGGGAAUAUUGGGCAAUGGGCGAAAGCCUGAUCCAGCCAUGCCGCGUGUGUGAAGAAGGUCUUCGGAUUGUAAAGCACUUUAAGUUGGGAGGCGGUACCAACAGAAAAAGCACCGGCUAACUUCGUGCCAGCCGCCGCGGUAAUUC